rnacentral:rRNA from 1 species
AACGAACGCUGGCGGCAGGCCUAACACAUACAAGUCGAACGGGAUCUUCGGAUCUAGUGGCGGACGGGUGAGUAACGCGUGGGAACGUGCCCUUUGGUUCGGAAUAGCCCUGGGAAACUGGGAGUAAUACCGGAUGUGGUCGAGAGACGAAAGAUUUAUCGCCAAAGGAUCGGCCCGCGUUGGAUUAGGUAGUUGGUGGGGUAAUGGCCUACCAAGCCGACGAUCCAUAGCUGGUUUGAGAGGAUGAUCAGCCACACUGGGACUGAGACACGGCCCAGACUCCUACGGGAGGCAGCAGUGGGGAAUCUUAGACAAUGGGGGAAACCCUGAUCUAGCCAUGCCGCGUGAGCGGUGAAGGCCUUAGGGUUGUAAAGCUCUUUCGUGGGGGAAGAUAAUGACUGUACCCCAAGAAGAAGCCCCGGCUAACUCCGUGCCAGCCGCCGCGGUAACAC